rnacentral:rRNA from 1 species
GAUGAACGCUGGCGGCGUGCCUAAUACAUGCAAGUCGAGCGAACAGACGAGGAGCUUGCUCCUCUGACGUUAGCGGCGGACGGGUGAGUAACACGUGGAUAACCUACCUAUAAGACUGGGAUAACUUCGGGAAACCGGAGCUAAUACCGGAUAAUAUAUUGAACCGCAUGGUUCAAUAGUGAAAGACGGUUUUGCUGUCACUUAUAGAUGGAUCCGCGCCGCAUUAGCUAGUUGGUAAGGUAACGGCUUACCAAGGCAACGAUGCGUAGCCGACCUGAGAGGGUGAUCGGCCACACUGGAACUGAGACACGGUCCAGACUCCUACGGGAGGCAGCAGUAGGGAACCUUCCGCAAUGGGCGAAAGCCUGACGGAGCAACGCCGCGUGAGUGAUGAAGGUCUUCGGAUCGUAAAACUCUGUUAUUAGGUAAGAACAAAUGUGUAAGUAACUAUGCACGUCUUGACGGUACCUAAUCAGAAAGCCACGGCUAACUACGUG